CAGUAUGAGAGUGAUCUGGCUGUGACAUCUGCCACCCCACUGAUCACCAGGGUUGAGCUAGCUGAUCUGGAUGGCUCAGCGGUGUCCCCAUCCUCCCUCACAGCUCCAUGUGCUUCCCUCCCAGAGCUGUGCGCUGGGUCAAAGAGGGUGGCAUUCCUUGAGGGUAUGGGAAUAGCUGUGCUCCCCUGCCAGAACCUCCAAGCAAGCUCUUGUUAAUAGAUUGUGACGGCACGGUUUUUGCUAUCUUUGGCUUUGUUGCAUUUUAACUAUUA
rnacentral:snRNA from 1 species